UAGUCCACGCCCUAAACGAUGCUUACUCGGCAUUGGCGAUACACAGUCAGUGCCUAAGGGAAACCACUAAGUAAGCCACCUGGGGAGUACGUUCGCAAGAAUGAAACUCAAAGGAAUUGACGGGGGCCCGCACAAGCGGUGGAGCAUGUGGUUUAAUUCGAAGCAACGCGCAGAACCUUACCCAGGCUUGACAUCUUUGGAACCCUUGGGAAACCUUGGGGUGCUGUCUUACGACAGAACCGAAUGACAGGUGCUGCAUGGCUGUCGUCAGCUCGUGCUGUGAGGUGUUCGGUUAAGUCCGGCAACGAGCGCAACCCCUGCCGUUAGUUACCAGCAUUUAGUUGGGGACUCUAAUGGGACUGCCGGUGAUAAACCGGAGGAAGGUGGGGACGACGUCAAGUCCUCAUGGCCCUUAUGUCUGGGGCUACGACACGUGCUACAAUGGCAUUUACAAAGGGCCGCAAAGCCGCAAGGUCAAGCAAAUCCCAUAAACGGAUGCCUCAGUUCGGAUUGGAGUCUGCAAC
rnacentral:rRNA from 1 species